rnacentral:sRNA from 1 species
CACAGAGGAUUCUACUUUCUUUAAAACUUUGUUUUCAGGCAAUUUCCCUGAGAACCGUUUACUUCCAGAAGAUUGGUGGAGCUUGAUCUGAAGGCUGGCCAUGAAAUCUCAAGGUCAACAUUGGUGUUCCAGUUCAGAUAAAAACUGUAAAGUGAGCUUUCGUGAGAAGCUUCUGAUUAUUGAUUCAAACCUGGGGGUCCAAGAUGUGGAGAACCUCAAGUUUCUCUGCAUAGGAUUGGUCCCCAACAAGAAGCUGGAGAAGUCCAGCUCAGCCUCGGAUGUUUUUGAACAUCUCUUGGCAGAGGAUCUGCUGAGUGAGGACGACCCUUUCUUCCUGGCAGAACUCCUCUAUAUCAUACGGCAGAAGAAGCUGCUGCAGCACCUCAACUAUACCAAAGAGGAAGUGGAGCGACUGCUGCCCACCCGACAACGGGUUUCUCUGUUUAGGUGAGGACGGGUCUGUGGUGGAGAUGGGAGGAUCUCCCAUCUAGUGUUCAUUCUGGCCAUUGGGCUUUGAAAGGAAGCUGCAGUUAAGAUCUUUUGGUUAUCUACCUCCUUGGAUGAUAAACCAGGAGAUUCUAAACCUCCUUCUCAGCCUCUGAUGCUAAUGAGAUGAGAGUUGGGAGGUUGGCAAAGCUUCAAGACCAAGCUCUGGGCCCAGAGGUGGCUUCCCUUUGUUUUGCUUCUCACUAGCAGUGAAGCC